UAACUUGUACAAAACAUGAUUUAGAUUCAUAUUCCACCCACAACAUAUACAAAUUAACUCAGUCACAAUGACUUUCAUGUGAUAUGGUGACACCCUGAGCUGCAUCUUUUUAUUUUUCCGCACAGUUGUUACUUACAAUCUUUGGCCUUCAGAUGGCAGCACUCUUACACAAAUGUCUGCGUUUAAUCCUGACUUUGGAAACACACAGAGGGCUCUUAUCUCAAGAACAACUAUAUAUUCAUAAACACCAUCUGACAAUUUUCUUCUCUGAAUCUAACCUUAAAAAUCAGAUGCACCCAGUUUAAGGAAUGUUAGGAAUACUUUGCUGUGACAAAUUACUGUACCAAGUAUUUUGCAGCAAAGCUAAAUGGUCAAACUUUGAGAUUACUCAUGAACAAGGCCGCAGGGUUUACCCCAGUAUCUCUUCUUCCUUGUGUUUGCUUUGCAGUGCAGUAAUCUGCAGCCUUUGCACACUGUGUCUCCGCACAGCAGUGUGUGUCUCAUCCUCCUCCUCCUCUGCAGAAAAUGUGUUUGUAAUGAAUCUUCUCAGGAGGGUUUUAUAGGAUGACAUGCAGCAUGUGUGGAGUGUCUCUGCAGCUGGGAGUAGUGUUGAGCUGGACUUGUGUCAGAAAUUCAAAAAGGAACACACCUAACUCUGUCUCUGUGUCCUCACAAAUGCACAGAGAAGACACGAAGCAGGGAACUACUUGGUAAAAUGUUCUGAUAUUUGUCAGUCUGAACUUUUUUAUACUUUUUUCAUGCUCUUUCAAAGGGCAAUACCAAUCUUUUAAAACAACACAAUAUGCUCUCAAAUCUAGGGACUUUGGGCUGCAUUUGCAUGUUGCGGGAAACUUUGUGGCUCGAGAACAUUUUAUCGAUCAGCUCAAAGGGUGUGAACUGAGUAAACAGAGAUUACAGCUUGGGGCGAGUAAAAUGAAGCUAAAGUCGCUUUAAUCUCCAGCUGAGCUAUGAUUGGUUGUUGUUCUGUGGAGAAUAAAGAGGCCAUGUCUGAACAGAGAAAUGAACAGAAUCAAUGACACAAUUUCAUGCUGAUGCAUCAACUUUGAUUUCUAUUUUCACAGAUGAUUCUGCUCUUUUUGUUCGGUGGGCGCCAUGUGGAAGGCUGUGGCACUUCUUUGAGAUAAAUUCAGACUUAGAUACAGUCAGGACUUAAAAGAAAGAAAUGGAUGUCUUUGAAGGCCACUGCAAACACAGGUUCAGUAUUAUAAAAUCGUCUGGAGUUUGGAGUCCUGUGGCCUGUACUGUUGGGCCUGUACUUUGGCUCAGUGGUGUAUUGAUCUAAAGACUAAGCAUGAUAACACACUCAUAAUAACUAAUGUCAUUGGCAGAUGUUUGUCUGGUUCAGUGCAUUGCUACAUACUUUUUUCAAAUGCCAGCAUUUUUCACUUAGCACAUGUAGGAAGUAAAGGACCAGUAUGUCGUUUUUUAAUACUAUUUCAAUGUCUAUUUUGUGUCCUUUAGCUGUUGUCUAUCUUUUGGUUUAUCUGCUUCUAUUUAUGGUCAGUUAAUGAUACAUUUUUACUCACAAUGUGUUUAUUUGUGGUUAUUUUGUGUGUCUGUUGUGGCUCUUCUAUUUAUCCUUGUAUCAUUAACUGUGUGUCUUUGUGCUAUUCUUCAUCUCUUGUAGAUGAUUUGUGCUCCAUUGUGGCUUUUUUCUAGCUUUGGAUUUGUAAAAAGUGUUACUUUUGAUAAAUAAUGAUAAACUAAAACUCUAUCUCUUUGUGAUCAGUGUCUGUUUGUGGUCAUUUUGGAUAUCUUUUUUGUUGCUUUGUAUCUUUUACGAUCAUACUGUAUCUCAGUUUUUAGUUGGGGUUAUUUUGUGACCCCUUCAGUUUUCUUUACUCUCUUUAGUAAAUGAUUGUAUAAGUCCCAGAAUUUUGUGACAGGUAGGUCUGUUCUGAAAUUGAUCCACAUUUGGGGACAGGGAUCAUAAUUUGUCAGUUUCCUACCUGCCUGUGUUUUUUAAUCAGUUUAUUGUGUAUCAUAACAAACCCUCCUCCCUCAUUUCAGCUAUAUCUCCCUGUGCCAGUCAUAUCUCAGUAACCCUGGGCCAAGUAUUGACUCUACUGCUUGCUUUUUUGUCUGAUUUGUCAGCAGCUGAGGCCGUGGUCAUUGACUCCUGUCUGGCACCAUCAUGCCUUUGGUUACCCAUCAUUCCAUCCUCUGCAGGUAAACACUCACAGACUUCACACUGCCUUGCCACGAGGGCUGGGGUUUGAUCAGUCGCGUGGCUCCUAAACCCAUCCUGACUUUUCUCAGAGAUUUGAUCCAUGAUGCCUAGGGAGAUGGACAUGAGGAAUUCGGAAAAGGUCACAGGUCAAAAGCAGCUGUAGAAGGUUUUG